rnacentral:rRNA from 1 species
UGGGGAAUAUUGGACAAUGGGGGCAACCCUGAUCCAGCAAUGCCGCGUGUGUGAAGAAGGUCUUCGGAUUGUAAAGCACUUUCGACGGGGACGAUGAUGACGGUACCCGUAGAAGAAGCCCCGGCUAACUUCGUGCCAGCAGCCGCGGUAAUACGAAGGGGGCUAGCGUUGCUCGGAAUGACUGGGCGUAAAGGGCGUGUAGGCGGUUUACACANUCNGAUGUGAAAUCCCCGGGCUUAACCUGGGAGCUGCAUUUGAUACGUGUAGACUAGAGUGUGAGAGAGGGUUGUGGAAUUCCCCAGUGUAGAGGUGAAAUU